rnacentral:rRNA from 1 species
UUUGAUGGUAGUGUAUUGGACUACCAUGGCUAUCACGGGUAACGGAGAAUUAGGGUUCGAUUCCGGAGAGGGAGCCUGAGAAACGGCUACCACUUCCAAGGAAGGCAGCAGGCGCGUAAAUUACCCAAUCCUGAUUCAGGGAGGUAGUCACGAGAAAUCUUUUAUUAGCGUAAAGCUAAAUCAGAGAUGGAUUAAAUAUAGACCAUUUUUUGAAAUCAAUUGGAGGGCAAGUCUUGGUGCCAGCAGCCGCGGUAAUUCCAGCUCCAAUAGUGUAUAUUAACGUUGCUGCAGUUAAAAAGCUCGUAGUUGAAUUUCUGCUAGUGGGCUGUGCCUCCGGGCCCAGUCUGCAUAGCAUCCGCGCCGGACGGCUCAACAGCUCUGCUUUGAGUCGAAUGCGUGUUUUACUUUGAAAAAAUCAGAGUGUUCCAGGCAGGCUUUGCUUGAAUACAUCAGCAUGGAAUAAUGGAAUAGGACAGGUCACUUUUAUUGGUUAUUUGACUUGUAAUGAUUAACAGGGACAGUUGGGGGCGUUUGUAUUCAAUAGUCAGAGGUGAAAUUCUUGGAUUUGUUGAAGACAAACUAAUGCGAAAGCAUUCGCCAAGGAUGUUUUCAUUAAUCAAGAACGAAAGUUAGGGGAUCAAAGACGAUUAGAUACCGU